rnacentral:sRNA from 1 species
AACUCUCACAAUUGUAGUAGUUGGCGGC